rnacentral:rRNA from 1 species
UAGGGAAUCUUCGGCAAUGGACGAAAGUCUGACCGAGCAACGCCGCGUGAGUGAAGAAGGUUUUCGGAUCGUAAAACUCUGUUGUUAGAAAAGAACAAGGGUGAGAGUAACUGUUCACCCCUUGACGGUAUCUAACCAGAAAGCCACGGCUAACUACGUGCCAG